CAGCAGCCGCGGGAAUACGAAGGGUGCAAGCGUUACUCGGAAUUACUGGGCGUAAAGCGUGCGUAGGUGGUGGUUUAAGUCCGUUGUGAAAGCCCUGGGCUCAACCUGGGAAUUGCAGUGGAUACUGGGUCACUAGAGUGUGGUAGAGGAUAGUGGAAUUUCCGGUGUAGCGGUGAAAUGCGUAGAGAUCGGGAGGAACAUCAGUGGCGAAGGCGGCCAUCUGGGACAACACUGACGCUGAGGCACGAAAGCGUGGGGAGCAAACAGGAUUAGAUACCCGGGUAGUCCCUGUCUCUUAUAC
rnacentral:rRNA from 1 species